GGGAAUAUUGGACAAUGGGCGAAAGCCUGAUCCAGCAAUGCCGCGUGUGUGAAGAAGGUCUUAGGAUUGUAAAGCACUUUCGGCGGGGACGAUGAUGACGGUACCCGCAGAAGAAGCCCCGGCUAACUUCGUGCCAGCAGCCGCGGUAAUACGAAGGGGGCUAGCGUUGCUCGGAAUGACUGGGCGUAAAGGGCGCGUAGGCGGUGCGGAUAGUCAGAUGUGAAAUUCCUGGGCUUAACCUGGGGACUGCAUUUGAUACGUCCGCGCUUGAGUGUGGAAGAGGGUCGUGGAAUUCCCAGUGUAGAGGUGAAAUUCGUAGAUAUUGGGAAGAACACCGGUGGCGAAGGCGGCGACCUGGUCCAUAACUGACGCUGAGGCGCGAAAGCGUGGGGAGCAAACA
rnacentral:rRNA from 1 species